GCUCCUGGCUCAGGAUGAACGCUGGCGGCGUGCUUAACACAUGCAAGUCGAGCGAAGCACUUAAGUUUGAUUCUUCGGAUGAAGACUUUUGUGACUGAGCGGCGACGGGUGAGGUAACGCGUGGGUAACCUGCCUCAUACAGGGGGAUAACAGUUAGAAAUGACUGCUAAUACCGCAUAAGACCACGGUACCGCAUGGUACAGUGGUAAAAACUCCGGUGGUAUGAGAUGGACCCGCGU
rnacentral:rRNA from 1 species